GCGCCGGUAGUUCAGUGGUUAGAGUUUAUACGACCAAAAUCUUGGCCUUCCAAGCCAAUGACCUGGGUUCAAAUCCCAGCCGGCGCA
rnacentral:tRNA from 1 species